GACAGAGGAGCCGAGCGUUAGGCGGAAUCACUGGGCUUAAAGCGUGUGUAGGCGGAUCUGUAAGUACCUUGUGAAAUCCCACGGCUCAACCGUGGAACUGCUUGGUAUACUGCGGGUCUUGAGCCACCUAGGGGCAAGUGGAACAAACGGUGGAGCGGUGAAAUGCGUAGAUAUCGUUUGGAACGCCAAUGGUGAAAACAACUUGCUGGGGGUGUGCUGACGCUGAGACACGAAAGCCAGGGGAGCAAACGGG
rnacentral:rRNA from 1 species